rnacentral:tRNA from 1 species
GGCUCGGUAGCUUAGUUGGCAAAGCGCUCGUCUAGCAUACAAGAGUCCUGGGUUCGAAUCCCAGCCGAGCAC